GUCGGACUGCUGUGAGACGCUCACCACAGCGGAGAACUAGCCUCAGCUGUGGUGGCUCAGUUAGCGGUUCAUUUGCUGUUUGAUGCAGAAAUUGCUUUAACGGUUCAAGAUGACGACUUCAUGGAGCGACCGUCUGCAGAACUAUGCCGACUUACCUGCCAACAUGGACGGUGUGGCCAUGAAGAAGUAUCGGCGUGAAGCUCACCACAGCUUUCCAAGGGAUCUGGCUCAAAACCAUCCUGCAAUGAGAGUGUUUGUCAACAGAAGCUUGGCCAUGGAGAAGAUCAAGUGUUUUGGUUUUGAUAUGGAUUACACUCUGGCAGUGUAUAAAUCUCCUGAGUAUGAGUCGCUGGGCUUUGACUUGACAGUCGAGCGUCUGGUGUCCAUUGGAUAUCCACAAGAGCUGCUCAACUUUGUCUAUGACCCCUCCUUCCCCACCAGAGGUCUGGUGUUUGACACGAUGUACGGCAACCUGCUCAAAGUGGACGCCUAUGGGAACAUCCUGGUGUGUGUGCACGGGUUCAACUUCCUAAGGGGACCUGACAUCAGAGAGAUGUACCCAAACAAAUUUAUUCAACGUGGAGAUACAGAUCGCUUUUACAUCCUCAACACACUCUUCAACCUGCCUGAAACCUACCUGUUUGCUUGUCUGGUUGAUUUCUUCAGUAACUGCUCCAGAUACUCCAGUUGUGAGACUGGCUUCAAAGAUGGUGAUCUCUUCAUGUCCUACAAGAGCAUGUUCCAGGACGUCCGAGACGCUGUGGACUGGGUUCAUUUCAAGGGGUCCUUAAAAGAAAAAACAGUUGAGAAUCUGGAGAAGUACGUAGUAAAGGAUCCGAAGCUUCCUCUCCUCCUCAGUCGCAUGAAUGAAGUAGCCAAAGUAUUUCUGGCCACCAACAGUGAUUACAAAUACACAGAGAAAAUUAUGACCUACCUGUUUGACUUCCCUCACGGCCCAAAGCCGGGCACACCCCACCGGCCCUGGCAGUCCUACUUUGACCUGAUCCUGGUCGACGCCCGGAAGCCCGUGUUCUUUGGAGAGGGAACAGUUCUGCGGCAGGUCGACACUACCACAGGUCGGCUGAAGAUCGGCACAUACACCGGACCUCUCCAGCAUGGUAUUGUUUACUCUGGAGGUUCCUCAGACAUCGUGUGUGACUUGCUGGGUGCUAAAGGAAAGGACAUCAUCUACAUUGGAGACCACAUUUUCGGUGACAUUCUCAAAUCCAAGAAGCGUCAGGGCUGGAGGACUUUCCUGGUGAUACCGGAGCUGGCUCAGGAGCUGCACGUGUGGACCGACAAGAGCUCCAUAUUUGAGGAACUUCAGUCUCUGGACUGCUUCCUGGCAGAGCUUUACAAGCAUCUGGACAGCAGCAGCAAUGAGAGACCUGACAUCAGCUCCCUGCAAAGAAGGAUUAAGAAAGUGACCCAUGACAUGGACAUGUGCUACGGCAUGAUGGGAAGUCUGUUUCGCAGUGGCUCCCGUCAGACGCUGUUCGCCUCCCAAGUGAUGCGCUACGCCGACCUGUACGCCGCCUCCUUCAUCAACCUGCUCUACUACCCCUUCAGUUAUCUUUUCAGAGCUGCACACGUGCUGAUGCCUCAUGAGUCAACGGUGGAGCACACCCACGUCAGCAUUAUCGACACAGAGUCUCCGCUGGCCACGCGAAACCGUCACGACGUCGACUUCAAGGAGAUGGAGUGCAAACGGCACCAACUGACCCGAUCCAUCAGCGAGAUCCAGCCCCCUCACUUCUUCCCCCAGGCUCCUCAGGAGAUCACUCACUGCCACGAUGAGGAUGAUGACGAGGAGGAGGAAGAGGAGGAGGAAGAGGAAGAAGAAGAGGAAGAAGAAGAAGAGUAGAUGGAGGGAGAAGAGCAGAGGAGUCUGAGUCUUUCUCACAUCCAGUUCGUCCAGUUUUAAUGUUUGAAGUUGAUCUUUUCUUUUGUUGAUAACCACAGGGCUGCAGCAGCUGAUUCUAACUGUCAGAGCCACUUUUACAUUUAGAAAAACAGGUUCACUGUGUCAACUGGUCUGGACCUGAUCUUGUACAAGACAGGGACUACUGUAGAUUCAAGUGGUCUUGCUACGUCCCUGAAUCAGAAAGACUUUGGGGCCAAGACUAUCAUCCUGAAGUCCCUCUGUCCUAUGGUCUGGCUGCAUUAUGUGUUUUUUAAAUUACUGCAGAAGUAAUGUAGAUAUGACUCCCUGCACAGUGUUUGCAAUGGAUUGUGAAACAGUUAUUGCCUUAUUCAUCUCACUUUGAGCUGAUACAGUGAGAAUGAAUGAGUUUGAUUGUUAAAGACUAUAUUUUAAACAUUUAUGGUGAAUUGAUUUCAUGAGAGGUAAAAUGUAUGGAAAGCCAUUUCUGACAGGAAAAAUACACAGAUGAUACAUUUGAAAAACAAUACUUACUGUAGGUUAAUAUUACAAAAUAGCAAGUUGAUUUUUUUUUUUUUUUUUACUUUCUAAGUCUAUUUUAUUUUUAAUCACAAAGUCAUAAUUAUGAGAAGUCAAUUAUUUGACUUGAAUUAGAUUAAAAAUUUAGACCAAGUUAUAGUUUAGAUUAUCUCAUUAUUAUGAGAUAGUUAAGAAGUCAAAAUGUAGACUUAAUAUCCAUCAUUAUUCAUAUGUUGUAAAUGUAAGUUCUAAUUUCCAUUUAUAAUUUUUGUCAAAGUUUGUCAAUGUGACAACGUGAAACGUGUUGACUUAGUGUCUUUCUUUUUUCUUUUUUCUUGUCUUCAUUUAGCAAUGGUCAAAUUUAGGUAAUAAGUCAUAUUUAUGAGAUAAUAAAAAAUAUUGACAAAUUGGUCAAAUUAGGUCAAAAUUUUGUUUUUUUUUCUUACUGUAUAUAAAUUUGACAUACAUUCUCAUAAGUUUGAAAUAAAAAGUCCAAGUUUAGACUGUAUUCAUUUUUCCUGGCAGUAAUGGUCCUCCAUAGAGAGGUGAAACUACUGUGUUUCUCUAACUGUAGUUUGAAGUUUAUCAGCUGAUCAGGUCUGUCUGCUGUAUACAUGCUGUUACUGUAAUGGGAGAGGUGGACUGAGCUGCUGAUGUGUCACUGUGGGCCUGUCUCUGUGUGCACUAAUGUCAUCACAGAUACUGCCAGUAUAUGCAAUAGUGUCUUUUAAUAAGCUUCAGAGUUGAUUCGGUUGUUUGUUUUUUUCUUUGAUUACCAUCAUGUCUUUAACCUCCUGCCCUAAUUUUAAAGGAGCUGUGAUUUAACAGGAGGACCUUGUCUGCUGGACUGAUGCACAGUAUUGAUCCUUUGAUGAGGUGAACAGUGAAAUACUCCUUGUUUUACAGGCUGUGUGAUUGUGCUGUUUGUGUGUUACAGCCGCACACAGAAAGUUUCUGAUUGAAUAUGUUGGAGCUGCCUCGUCCUGUCUGGACUGAUCAGCUGGAUCUUUUCUCUCCUUGUUGUGGGUCAAAGUUUAAAUGUCCUGCUGUCUGUUAGGUCUGCGCUCAAAUGGACAGUUGAUUGACUUAUUUCUGCCCGGUUGCACGUUGAGAUAUUUAUCCGGAUAUUUGAGUACGGGAGCAAUUUGUUACACUGCUGCUGUUGAAAAAGAAAGGUUUCAGAGUGGACACCCCCAGAGUGAGCAGCAACAAUGAUUUACAAUGGUCAGUUUUCUUACUCAAGUCAUUUCAGAACUGCAUGCCUGUGUUAAUGACAGCGGUCACUGUCAGCUGCUUUGAAAACUCGCUUCAGCUUCAGACAGAUUCAAGUAUAAAGUGAACCAAAUGAAUGUAUUUUUACCUGCAACAGUUGAUGCAUGUGUUGAAGUUGCAUUUUAAUUUGAAGAGAAUUGAAACGUUGAGACGGUUUGAGUCAUGACUGAUGUUUGUAAUAAAUUUUCUGAUCCAA